rnacentral:rRNA from 1 species
GACGAACGCUGGCGGCGUGCCUAAUACAUGCAAGUUGAGCGCUGAAGGUUGGUACUUGUACCAACUGGAUGAGCAGCGAACGGGUGAGUAACGCGUGGGGAAUCUGCCUUUGAGCGGGGGACAACAUUUGGAAACGAAUGCUAAUACCGCAUAAAAACUUUAAACACAAGUUUUAAGUUUGAAAGAUGCAAUUGCAUCACUCAAAGAUGAUCCCGCGUUGUAUUAGCUAGUUGGUGAGGUAAAGGCUCACCAAGGCGAUGAUACAUAGCCGACCUGAGAGGUGAUCGGCCACAUUGGGACUGAGACACGGCCCAAACUCCUACGGGAGGCAGCAGUAGGGAAUCUUCGGCAAUGGACGAAAGUCUGACCGAGCAACGCCGCGUGAGUGAAGAAGGUUUUCGGAUCGUAAAACUCUGUUGGUAGAGAAGAACGUUGGUGAGAGUGGAAAGCUCAUCAAGUGACGGUAACUACCCAGAAAGGGACGGCUAACUACGUG